AUGAACGCUGGCGGCGUGCCUAAUACAUGCAAGUCGAGCGAACAGACGAGGAGCUUGCUCCUUUGAUGUUAGCGGCGGACGGGUGAGUAACACGUAGGUAACCUACCUAUAAGACUGGGAUAACUUCGGGAAACCGGAGCUAAUACCGGAUAAUAUUUCGAACCGCAUGGUUCGAUAGUGAAAGAUGGCUUUGCUAUCACUUAUAGAUGGACCUGCGCCGUAUUAGCUAGUUGGUAAGGUAACGGCUUACCAAGGCAACGAUACGUAGCCGACCUGAGAGGGUGAUCGGCCACACUGGAACUGAGACACGGUCCAGACUCCUACGGGAGGCAGCAGUAGGGAAUCUUCCGCAAUGGGCGAAAGCCUGACGGAGCAACGCCGCGUGAGUGAUGAAGGUCUUCGGAUCGUAAAACUCUGUUAUUAGGGAAGAACAAACGUGUAAGUAACUGUGCACGUCUUGACGGUACCUAAUCAGAAGGCCACGGCUAACUACGUG
rnacentral:rRNA from 1 species